UUUCAUGCUAAAACAUGUAUUCUUCUCAUGUUUCAUUAGGAUUAAUCUUAAUUAUUGGCUGUUUCUAUUGAACUUGCUAGAUCACCGACCCCAGCAUGGACCAAUCUCUCAUUCCAUCUUCUAGAGAAUCUUGGAUAACUGAUUGGUGGUUUCAUGUGUUUCUAAAUUUGCAUGACUGUCUUUAUGAUUCCUUCAAAGAAAAAUGACUUACAGUCAUCAAGAUUCCUUGUUUGCUAGCCCGUUAUUGGCUGCUACCCUUGAAUCUCCUCAUUUGU